rnacentral:ncRNA from 1 species
GCCAUGUAUGCCAUAUUAAGGCGAAACCACCAAUAACUUAUUAAAUCAUUUAUGGUUUCUUGGAUCGUACGUUAUUACUAUUUGGGUAACUAUUUUAAUUCUAGUGCUAAUAUAUGCAGCAGAGUUCCGACCCUCUGGAGACGAGCUCUUUCUUAUAUAGACCAAAACAAAUCGGAUCUCGUGUCCAUAUUAUGUGACAACGCUGUAAAUUUUGGGCUCGUCUUGGCGACGUAUGUUUGAAGUGUCUGCAUUAUCAACUAUAGCUGGUAGGUUAUGCAUCUACCAUUGUAGUAACGGGUGACGGGGAAUUAGGGAAGAUUUUCUAUUAAG